rnacentral:lncRNA from 1 species
CUGGUAUAUCUGCGUUCCCUGAGGAGGAUAAUAUAUUAUGUUGGAAAGGAACAAAACUGGAGAAACUAAAGGAAUCCAAUUAGCAUCCCUGCUGCCGCUCAGAGUAUUCGGACGGAUGGUUCAACAAGUGAUUUCAUAACCUCUUCAUAACCGGAGAAAUUCCGGAUGUAUCUAUCAAAACCACCUGCGAUUUCCACCAAGCCAACAAUCAGAGCAGUUGAAAACUAACAACAGGCGUUAACAGAUUCAAGAAAAAGAACCGGCUUGACAUUGAUAAGCACACAUACCGCUUCAUGGAGGAUCAGGUUGGUUUGACAGAUGAUUACUGGCCACUCUAUGCUGUUGCCGGCGGUGUUGGGACUGCCCUUGGAUGGAGUUGGUUGUUG